rnacentral:tRNA from 1 species
GGGAAGGUGGCUCAGUGGUAGAGCACUUGCCUUGCACGCAUGAAGCCCUGGGUUCGAUUCCUCAGCACCCU